GAAUACCAUAAUUGUCGUAAGACUUGAUAUAGUGAAAUUAAUGAAUUGAUCCUUGUGUUAUCACAAUUAUGGUAUUUCAUUGACUGAGAUGGCAUCAGUCUAGUAUGUAGAGGAGAAAAGAUAAACAGGGGAGCUGGGAGAGACGCAAAAGCAGAAUAUUUACGUCGAUAAGUUACCGAAUCACUUUUUUCAAGGGAUCAAUCUCUACCCCAUAGCUUUCUUCUGCGCAAUGCGAUAAAUGAACAGAAUAAACCCUCUUUAUGAACCUGCAAGUUGACGAAUAUACUUCAGGGGCCGACUACUACAAUCAGCUGAGCAUAGUUGGAUGCCCUGUCUGUAUUAUCCUCUUGAUCAUGUCCAUCCCAAACGCAGAAUCCGAUGAACUCGGGAUGUGAAUUUCAUAAGGAAAAUAGAUGACACUCUCAGUUAUAGGGGGCACAUGAUCUUUUUUCUCAUUCACAAAUUUUAUUAUUUGGAACAAAACCUCGCGAAGAGAUACUUCAAGUGAUGCUCUGCGAACACUCCUCUCCUCAGAUGCACUCUCUCCUGGAUCAACCACUAUUUUAGAAUGAUGAGACUUUCCAGAGUGUGCUUUUAGUUUUGGGUGUUGAGUCACAUUCAAAUUGAUAUGCCAUUGUUCCCAAUCUAGUCGUUCAAUUUUGUUAGUGAACCAUGAUGGAUGCUUGCUUUUCACUUCAUAAAAGGACAAACAUAUCUCGCUUUUCUUAUUCGGGUGUUUCUCAACCCAACUUACAAAUUGCUCAAUCUUCUCAUCUAUUUUCUUUUCAACUUCGAUAUCCCCACAUUGCACAUAUGUAAUAUCAAAGAGCUCCAAAUCAAUGUCUUUAGGCCGGACAAGACCUAAAGCCCGAUGAAAGACAAUUGUAUGUAAUAUGCAGCGUAGAACUUCCCGUAUCUCAAAGUGCUCCACCUCCAGUUCUUUGAGUUGGCAAACUUCGCAAUUCAUGAUGAUUUUUGGUGAGAAAAUUGAGCAAAGACUGACGUAGAUCAAUCUAAAAUUGAAAAUUGGAAAGCUAGGAGAUGUUUUGGAAGUUGGAUUAAUGAAAGGUGGGCAACGAACGAUGGGUGAAGUAAGGUAAAGUCGACGGUGGAGCUUCGCGUAUGGUAGUGAUCUAUUCCUGAUAGGAGUACAGUGGUAGUAGUAGCAAAU
rnacentral:misc_RNA from 1 species